CCCAGAUUGGUGUAGUGGUUUAGCACAUCUGGAGUCACCAGGCGGAAGCCUGGCCCUUCGGGGGUGGAAGACCCGGGUUCGAAUCCCGGAUCUGGGA